GGGCCUGUAGCUCAGUUGGUUAGAGCGUCCGCCUGAUAAGCGGGAGGUCAUUGGUUCAAGUCCAACCAGGCCCACCA
rnacentral:tRNA from 1 species